rnacentral:rRNA from 1 species
GAUGAACGCUGGCGGCGUGCCUAAUACAUGCAAGUCGAGCGAACAGAUAAGGAGCUUGCUCCUUUGACGUUAGCGGCGGACGGGUGAGUAACACGUGGGUAACCUACCUAUAAGACUGGGAUAACUUCGGGAAACCGGAGCUAAUACCGGAUAACAUUUGGAACCGCAUGGUUCUAAAGUGAAAGAUGGUUUUGCUAUCACUUAUAGAUGGACCCGCGCCGUAUUAGCUAGUUGGUAAGGUAACGGCUUACCAAGGCAACGAUACGUAGCCGACCUGAGAGGGUGAUCGGCCACACUGGAACUGAGACACGGUCCAGACUCCUACGGGAGGCAGCAGUAGGGAAUCUUCCGCAAUGGGCGAAAGCCUGACGGAGCAACGCCGCGUGAGUGAUGAAGGGUUUCGGCUCGUAAAACUCUGUGAUUAGGGAAGAACAAAUGUGUAAGUAACUGUGCACGUCUUGACGUUACCUAAUCAGAAAGCCACGGCUAACUACGUG